rnacentral:tRNA from 1 species
GCGAGAGUGGCGGAAUUGGUAGACGCACCGGCCUUAGGAGCCGGCGGUUUAGGCCAUAGGGGUUCAACUCCCCUCUCUCGCACCA